CUCUAAUUAAAAAUUGGGAACCCAAUUUCCCACCUCGUUGUCAUUUAUUAUUUCUUUAUUUUCCAAAAAUAAAAACUUAAAGUUUGAAUGAUUAAAGAAUGCCUUGAAAGAAAUUGGACUUAAAAGUUGUUACUUGAAAGGGAGAGAUAUUCAAGUGACGUGAGUUUCGAAAGUCGAGGAGAUGCGAUAUUUCCUGUGAAUGUAUUGUAUGAUAGGUCAACCAAUCUAAGAGAUGUCAUGUUUGCCACACAUGAAGGAAGUAUUCCUUUGUACUUAUUCCCACUAAGAUCUAAUUCUUGGAGGUUUUUAAGUUCUCACAACCCUGCAAAUCAAACGAAUACAAUUACUACUUCAAACCACCAAUGAAAUGGGGAAUAUAAAGGCUUUUCUUAUAAUAGAAAGCAUUUUUUUUCCGUCUCUGAACUUACUUUCAAGUAAGAAAGUUUCCCUUUUUAGAAGUGAAUUUUUUUUAUUGGUGAGACAGCAAUAAUUUAAUUAUUUUGAAUGCAAGUAUUAACUUACUUAUUUCCACUUUCACUAAUAAAAAAGCUAUAGAUUGUAAAAAUUUAAUUACUUUUCACUAUGUAAGGUUAGCCAAACCUCUUUAAAUUAUAUUAAUUAUGAAGUCCUAAUUGACAAUGCUAAAUACUUCUUUUGAUACAAAAGAAAUUUUCUGUUUCAUUUUUUUUUCACAAAAUAUUUUCUAUAUUUAAUAGUGAGGUAAUCAAUAUCUAUUGUUUUCUGAAAAAUCUUAUAGUAAUUUUGC
rnacentral:lncRNA from 1 species